rnacentral:siRNA from 1 species
ACAAAGACGUGGUUUGAUAGU